CUCCUCUUGGGGCCCUGCGCCUUCCCUCUGGUUGUCCUCCCUCUUCCUCCUUCCUCCUCCUCCUCCUCCUGGUGCCCUGCGCCUUCCCUCAGGGAGUCCUCCUUCCUCCUCUUCCUCCUCUGGGGCCCUGCGCCUUCCCUCCCCGCCUCUAGGGGGCGCCCCAGGGAAGUUUUCCUCCUCCUCCGGGCCAGCCUCGGGACGCCCCGAGACAAAAGCUCCACGCGGGCAAGAAUGUGGAGGCUUAGAAAAUUUUAAUUGGGAUGGCAAUGAACAAGACCCAUUUUCUUCAAAGCCUGAACAUGGAACUGCGCCCACCUGGGGUUUGGACAGGAAGCGUCUGGUGCUUUAUCAGAAACAGAGGGGCAGAGCAUAGCAGCACUGUGGAACACAGAACAGCGGAGCUGGAGGCCCACUCUUGCCCCUCUGCAGGUUGCUGUGUGAUGAUGGUGAUUUGUUUUAUGUCUCUCUGCACCCCUUUCCUAGUUUGUGACAAAUUUGUAUAGAUCCUAGGAAGAUAUAUUGUAUCACUCUACUGCUUCUGGUAUUGUAGAAAGCGCUCCACAAUAGAAUUCUCACUUUACUGGGAUGUUUCUAAAUUUCUUAUAAAUCGACACAAUCAAAUGGCAUUCUAUUAUCAAGUACGCUUAAAUGGGAGAGAGUAGAAAAAAUUGCUAAUGAUUUGAU